rnacentral:rRNA from 1 species
AGCAGCCGCGGGAACACCGGCGGCCCGAGUGGUGAUCGUGAUUAUUGGGUCUAAAGGGUCCGUAGCCGGUCUGGUCAGUCCUCCGGGAAAUCUGAUAGCUCAACUAUUAGGCUUUCGGGGGAUACUGCCAGACUUGGAACCGGGAGAGGUAAGAGGUACUACAGGGGUAGGAGUGAAAUCUUGUAAUCCCUGUGGGACCACCUGUGGCAAAGGCGUCUUACCAGAACGGGUUCGACGGUGAGGGACGAAAGCUGGGGGCACGAACCGGAUUAGAUACCCGGGUAGUCCCAGCCGUAAACGAUGCUCGCUAGGUGUCAGGCAUGGCGCGACCGUGUCUGGUGCCGCAGGGAAGCCGUGAAGCGAGCCACCUGGGAAGUACGGCCGCAAGGCUGAAACUUAAAGGAAUUGGCGGGGGAGCACAACAACGGGUGGAGCCCUGCGGUUUAAUUGGACUCAACGCCGGACAACUCACCGGGGGCGACAGCAAUAUGUAGGCCAAGCUGAAGACUUUGCCUGAAUCGCUGAGAAGUGGUGCAUGG